AUUGAACGCUGGCGGCAGGCUUAACACAUGCAAGUCGAGCGGGGUGAUGGUGCUUGCACUAUCACUUAGCGGCGGACGGGUGAGUAAUGCUUAGGAAUCUGCCUAUUAGUGGGGGACAACAUCUCGAAAGGGAUGCUAAUACCGCAUACGUCCUACGGGAGAAAGCAGGGGAUCACUUGUGACCUUGCGCUAAUAGAUGAGCCUAGGUCGGAUUAGCUAGUUGGUGGGGUAAAGGCCUACCAAGGCGACGAUCUGUAGCGGGUCUGAGAGGAUGAUCGGCCACACUGGGACUGAGACACGGGCCAGACUCCUACGGGAGGCAGCAGUGGGGAAUAUUGGACAAUGGGGGGAACCCUGAUCCAGCCAUGCCGCGUGUGUGAAGAAGGCCUUAUGGUUGUAAAGCACUUUAAGCGAGGAGGAGGCUCUUUUGGUUAAUACCCAAGAUGAGUGGACGUUACUCGCAGAAUAAGCACCGGCUAACUCUGUGCCAGCAGCCGCCGUAA
rnacentral:rRNA from 1 species